rnacentral:rRNA from 1 species
GACGAACGCUGGCGGCGUGCUUAACACAUGCAAGUCGAACGGAAAGGCCCUGCUUGCAGGGUGCUCGAGUGGCGAACGGGUGAGUAACACGUGGGUGGUCUGCCCCUUACUUUGGGAUAAGCCUGGGAAACUGGGUCUAAUACUGGCUAGGACCAUGCUGUAGGUGGUGUGGUGGAAAGAUUAGUUUCGGUAAGGGAUGAGCUCGCGGCCUAUCAGCUUGUUGGUGGGGUAUUGGCCUACCAAGGCGUCGACGGGUAGCCGGCCUGAGAGGGUGGACGGCCACAUUGGGACUGCGAUACGGCCCAGACUCCUACGGGAGGCAGCAGUGGGGAAUAUCGCGCAAUGGGCGCAAGCCUGAUGCAGCGACGCCGCGUGGGGGAUGACGGCCUUCGGGUUGUAAACUCCUUUCAGCCAUGACGAAGCCCUUGUGGUGACGGUAGUGGUAGAAGAAGCACCGGCUAACUACGUG